rnacentral:rRNA from 1 species
AUUGAACGCUGGCGGCAGGCCUAACACAUGCAAGUCGAGCGAGCGGCGGACGGGUGAGUAAUGUCUGGGGAUCUGCCCGAUGGAGGGGGAUAACUACUGGAAACGGUAGCUAAUACCGCAUACCAUCAGAUGUGCCCAGAUGGGAUUAGCUAGUAGGUGGGGUAACGGCUCACCUAGGCGACGAUCCCUAGCUGGUCUGAGAGGAUGACCAGCCACACUGGGACUGAGACACGGUCCAGACUCCUACGGGAGGCAGCAGUGGGGAAUAUUGCACAAUGGGCGCAAGCCUGAUGCAGCCAUGCCGCGUGUAUGAAGAAGGCCUUCGGGUUGUAAAGCACUUUCAGCCGGGAGGCGUUACCGGCAGAAGAAGCACCGGCUAACUCCGUGCCAGCAGCCGCGGUAAUAC